UAGCUGGGGCCGCGGGCUAACGGGAGCCCCUUUUUUCCUCCCCAUGGCCCUCAUGUCCCUCCUGUUCCGGCCACUCUGGGGGCGGGGGCAGGGAGGCAGGGAGAGGAGGUCUAGUGUCCCCUGAGUCACCAUGACUCAGUCUCCUUGCCUGGAAUCAUCACACUGCACGAAGCUCUCCAGGACGGUGAGCAGGCCUGGGAGUCAGCAUGGAGGAGGCCACACAGCAAGCCAGGAGUUUCCAAAUCACCCCACCACCAACAACAACUCUAUCAAAGGGAAGCAAAUCACCAGGAGAACAAAGGGUGAGGAGCCAUCUCGGCAGGGCCACAGGGCCCAGCAUACUCUCUGCAGGGCUGUGACCCUCCCAGGAGAGCCGACACCACCCCAACCCCAGGGACAGGACUGUGACACUCCCCUGCAACAACCCCGGUGAGCCUCUUACAGGAAGUCACCCACCCGCUCUCCUCUCUGUCCCUGUUGUCAGCCUCUGCCAUCUCUCAAGGCCGCAAGCUGCUAGGCCUGCUUCCUGCUCUGCGGGCAAGGACGCGGCCUCUCUCUCAUCGGAUGCCAAGGCUUGAUGCCACGGGGCUCCUGUCAUCAGGCUCAACCCUCAAGUUCAUCCUCUGUGACCCUGACGGAGGCUCCAACCCAGGACCUGCGGCUUCCGUCCAUCACCCUACUUUCCACACCUUUUUGGGUCCGUGUCGGGGACAUUAUACACCUGCCUGGUGUUGUGGGAGCACCGCCACCCACCAGCUUCGGCGCCCCUCAUCCACGGACCCCACCCCACCCCCUGGCCUGGCCCCGCCCCACCUGCUCUCUGUCCUUGUGCACUGGGCUCAUCUGGGUGCCUCACAGAAGUGAACAGGGACAGCAGCCUUGCGUUAGAGACCAGCCGACUGUAUCAGCAUAACACCCUCAGCCUGCUUCCCAGCCCCCUUGGUGUGAAAGGCGGAGCCACACUCACUGCACACCUGUGUCUCAGUUCACGUAGCUACUGUUGCAGAAAAGCAACCUGCCUCUGGCUGGCUCCGUGAAAAUUCUGAAGGGUUCAGGAGCAGAUGAAGCAAAAAUGGCCUUUGUCCCCCCUCUUGGCUGUGCCCGUGGUAAACCAUUCUGGCGCAUUCCUCAGGUUUUCAAGACAGAAAAGCAGGCCACUUGAUAGCCACUCUUACCACACAUGAAACCGUUUGUGGAAUGGAAGUAAAAGAUGCGACUCCCGAUUGCCCAGCCCACAGCCCGGCAGACACGCUGGGAGGCGGGAGGCUCAUGCUGCCCGGGCACGGCAGCAGACGCUGACAGAGGAGUCGCUUUGAAAAAUGUGACCCUCAUGGCGGGAGCCGCGAGCACGGGGGCCGAGGAGGCUCCAGCGUUUCAGUGGAUCACAACCAGGGGCGAGAUGGACAGUGGUAACCGCAUCUCUGAGUCACCGAGACUCACAUGUUCUGUAACCCCUGAUUAAGAAGGCCGGGAAGUGUGUAACAGCCACUGGCAAAGCCUCCCAGGAUCUCUCUUUUUAAGGUUUCGGAUAUUAACGUCUGGAACGCUGAUGUGAAACGGCUCAUUCUCAGAUGAUGACAUAAAGAUGACAUAGUACUGCUCUCUCUGCAGUUUACUCAGAACCCACCUCCACAUUCCAAGGAGCUGCCAGCACUCAGGUCUUUAUCCUCCCCAUCGGGGAAAGGGAGCGCAGGCAAAAGUCCCAGCCGUCAACCACCCCAAGCACAAUAAAAAAAAAAAAAAAAAAAAACACCUACUCCUUACUGAGCUUCUGCCUCUGACGUGGAAGGCGCUGGAAGGUGCAGUAUGGGCAAAUUGUAUUUCAGUCCUCAACAGCCCCACCAGGCCAACACUACACUCCCCAUUAGUGGGGAACCUGAGGCUCAGAGAGGUUAGACAACCGAGUAAGUUCAAAUUAGCAUGUGACAAUGAGCUCUCAGCCACCUGCACACACGCAUGCGUAUGCACACGCACACUGCCGACCACCGUCUCCCUGCACACACAGCAGAGUGCAGUAAGGGGCCAGCCUGGGCCACCUGAGGAAGGAGGGGACAGCGCCCAGGCCACGCACCUGCUGGCCCCAGAGGUCAGGGAUUCGGGGCCAGGGAGGGGGGGAGGCAGCGGAUGGGUGCCCUGGAACUCAGGAGGUACUCCCAAGAUGAGGAUACUGCCUCCCAGCACCCAGCACAGCCUCCCUACCCUCCGUGAGAAAGCCAGGACAAGGAUUCUGCGUUCACCAUGCCACACUUUUACCAGGGGUGCGGGCAGAGCUGAGUCCAGUCCUGGACAUUCCAGGGAGUAGG